GACGGGAAGGAGGCGUUGGGGGGCGGUUGGGUUUACCCUUCGAGGUGAGCGCGGCCUUGUUUUUAGGGACGCCCGGACGGGAGGCGUUUGUUGCUUUCGCAGCCGAGUGGUGGAAAUGUAUUGGCUCUUCAGGGCAGAGAUCUGAUGGAUUUGUUGACUCCUCUGUGUGAGAAAGGCUCGGCCUGCUGCAGGUGUUAACGCGAAGCCAUGCUGGAGCUGUGGACGUCAGUUUCCUCAGCUCCCAGCUGUUCACUUCGAACGUGACCUCGAGGUCUGCUCUCCCCUUCCCUUUAGCUGACAAUGUAACAGUGGAAGAAUAAAGAGUCCUAAGAUAACCACUUUUCUGCUACAUUCCAGCAGAUGAGAAAAGCAGCUGCUUGAAUAAAAGUCAGUCUGAGAGGAAUGGUAAUUUAUUUUUUCAGUCAGUAUCUUCAGUUACAGAAGAUAAAUAGAACUUGACAAUGAUUAUAGUGCCCUGAAAAAGAAUGGCUGCCAAUUUCCCUGUAUAUUACAAAGUAUUGCUUCUUUUCUCAUCUAACUUUAAACAUCUUAAGGGAAGUGCAUUACGGGAAGGCAAUGAACAAAGGCUCAACAUUUCAUAGUAAAGUCAGAUUUUCGACAUUUUAAUUUUAAAAUGUAUUUUUUAAACAUUAAGUUUUUUUAAGACGUUUAUUCUGGAUUGUUUUGAUAAAUAAUACAACUUAAUUCACUGAAGCUUCUAAAAUUAUUUACAAAUAUGAAAUAUAAGUCCUGGUUAGAAUUUGGAUAGUUUUAAAGCGUAAAAGAAUCCACAUGCUAACUUCUCAGUAUGAUUUAAUAAAUCAAACUGCUAAACAUCUGAUUUCUUCGGCAGUUCACCUUUGGCCCUGUAAUAGGGUAACUGGUAUUGUGGAAGAAUAAUUGUAAAAUGUCAAAUCUUCAGCUGUUUAACAACUGAUUAAGUGUGGUGCUGUUGAGACUAAGCAGUAAAACAUGCCAGAGAUUAAAAUUGAUUACUAUUUUUUUCA